UCAUAAAGGAGCGAGUAGCUCGUGGGAACAGUCAUAAGGAGAAAACGAAAGAAGAACGAGAACGGACGAAGCGAGCGGAUACACGAGAAGAAAAUCCAACUGAUUUUUGUACAUUGCCAUUACUCGCGCUGGUCGCGACUUUUUUCUCAUUUCUAUCGUUAGAUUAGUUUUCCGUUUACCAAUUAAUACCAACAGUUAUUGAAAUCGACGCGACGUAACCUCACUUUUUCGACAAUCCAUCCACCGACAAGCCUGUGAGCCAAGAUGCCUGCACCAGAGGGUUCACGUGACAGCCGUAUGGCUAAAUUCAAGAACAACAUGAAGCACGAGGAUGCUCGCAGAAGAAGAACCGAAGUAUCAGUUGAGUUGCGCAAAGCUCGGAGGGAUGAUCAAAUUUUGAAGAGGCGCAAUCUCAAUAUCGAUGAGGAACUUGUGCUGUCACCAGACCGUCAAAAAUCCCCAGUCAAUGUUAUGGCCAUGGAGGAUAUAAUUUCGGGAAUGGCUUCAGAAGAUGAAACUAUUCAACUGAGAGCUACUCAGGCUUGCAGAAAAGUUCUAAGCCAGGAAAAAAAUCCACCUAUCGAUCGCAUGAUCCAGCAAGGCAUCGUUCCCCGUUGUGUUGAAUUCUUGUCUUACCAUCACAACCCUGCUCUGCAGUUCGAAGCUUCAUGGGCUUUGACCAACGUCGCAUCCGGCACGUCUGAACAAACCAACGUUAUUAUUAAAAAUGGUGCUGUACCAAAAUUUAUCGAAUUAUUGAAAUCGUCUGCAUUAAAUGUUGCUGAGCAAGCAGUUUGGGCCUUGGGCAACGUAGCUGGCGAUGGACCAGUUGCUCGGGAUCUUCUCCUGAAUCUCGGAUGCAUGCCCCUCUUGAUCGACCUCAUCAAGCCAGAUACUUCGACAACAUUCAUGAGAAACAUCGUGUGGACAAUAUCGAAUUUGUGCCGCAACAAGACUCCACCACCACCUUUUGAAAUGGUCAAAUGUGCUUUGCCAGCGUUGAACCGUAUCUUGAACUGUGACGAUAGCGAUGUUCUUGCUGAUGCUUGCUGGGCAUUGUCGUACUUGACGGACGGUAUCAACGAUAAAAUUCAAGCGGUUGUCGAGUCCGACGUCGUACCGAAACUUGUAUCCCUGCUUCGUGUCCCGGACGUCAUCGUUUUAACUCCGGCACUCCGGGCAGUCGGUAACAUCGCAACAGGAAACGAUUAUCAGACCGAUGCAAUAAUCGCUUGUAACGGUUUGCCCAAUUUACGAAUGUUGCUUGAACAUCCAAAACCAAAUAUCGUUAAGGAAGCUGCUUGGACCAUCAGCAACAUCACGGCUGGUAACAGCGAACAGAUUCAACUGGUUAUUAACGCUGGUAUUUUGCCACCGCUCAUCAAAGUUCUUCAAUCGGGCGACUUCAAGUCUCAAAAAGAAGCAGCAUGGGCCAUUACAAAUUUGACUUCCGGCGGUACGGUCCAACAACUCGCUCACCUCGUACAACUCGGAGUUUUAGAGCCUUUCUGCAAUCUUUUACUUGCCAAGGAAUGGAAAACCGUCAUAGUCGUUCUCGAUGGUUUGACAAACAUUCUUAACACUGCUGAGAAAAUGGGUGAAGUCGAUCGUGUCGCAAUGAUGAUCGAAGAAUGUCAUGGUCUUGAUAAACUCGAAAAUCUUCAGCAUCAUCAAAAUGAAGAGGUGUAUUCAAAAGCUGUUGCCAUGAUUGAUACGUUCUUCUCAGAAGCGGAUAACGAAAAUGCAGAACUGGCGCCUGCGACCGUCGAUGGUCAGCUGGACUUUCAGCCAACGGAAAGUGCACCACAAGGAGGUUUCAACUUCUAAUAGGACUUCUUGAAAAAGAAUAGAAAACGGAAACAAAAAUCAGCAGUCAAUCGUUCGAAAAUCACGAAGAUUAUCGUCCCCCGAGAACGCUGUACUUCACGAGUUUGACAUUUUAGACGCCGACUCCAAAGCAAUUCGUUCACAUUUCGAUUGAUGAAUCCACACCCACUUCACAGGAAACGUGAGAUACUUUGGAAGGUAGAGGUCGACAAAAAGGAAAUGGCAAACAAAGCUUUGAAUCUCGAGUUUUUCAUUUUGUAUUCUUUAUUGACAACUUGUUCACCGUCCACAGGUUCUUCUUCUCCCUACCGACUAAAUUAUCAAAUCCUUCGGUUGUUACUUUCACAUUGAGACGAUAGUGUUUCGCGUUAAAAGAGAUUAAUUUUUCAUUUUCUUAUAUAGUUUUAUAUUUAUAAUCCCUGACAGAUAAUUCUCGUAUCAAUUGAAUGACUAGUGACAAGAAAAUGCUUAAGAAUGAAAUGAGGUUGCGCUAUGAUAGUUAAUGAUUCAAUUGAUCAACCAAUUCAUUGUUAUUCAAUGUCUAAUUUUUCUGACAUACGCUUUUACAAUUUAACUGAGCGAUAAAAUAUUUAGUAUUUUAAGUUUAUUAUUAUGAUUUUAUAGCAUCGAAACUAUACGAACAGGCAUAAUACUACAAACAGCGUUUCUUAUAUUAACAUCAAUCAAUUUGAAAUUGUACAUGAAAUUCAUCGGCCCAGUUCCCCUCGUUUCCUUCCGAGCAAUCUUUCCAAAGAUUUUUUUUAUUUUCACUCUUAUAAAAUUAUAAAAAUAUAAGUUUUUCGUUUUGUUUUUCGAGCAUAAAAAUCAAGUGCUUGAUUCCCUAACGAUUUUAAUUUAGCGCGAUUUCCAAAACGCCUCACGAAUCUCAAAAUAAUUUGCGAAUCGAGGAAUUCUUUAAGCUUUUGUCCGCGCAAAGGGAAUAUGGCGAUUGUUAUUUCUAUAUUAGACGAGUACUAGUAAAAGAAAAACUACCUAUGCUAUUUAAAAUGAAAAUUUUGCCAAAAAAUGAAUUUUUUGUACUUUGGAAAUGAGUAUUAUGCAAGAUUAAACAAUAAAUUCGUGGAGCUAUCGGGUCGAGUGUGAUUCCAAUGAUAAAAUCUCCAUGGAGCAAUUAAUUUUUUUUUUUACUAUGAAAAAUGUUAUUCUAUGUUCGAGUAUUCAAAAAAAAUACAGCGAAUCGUUUUUUAACAUGAUUUAAGUUCCAAAUACAAAGUGCCCCACCAGUUUAUGAUACAAAAUGUAUCCUUAACGCCGAUUUUCAGGUUGAACAACCAGUGUUCUGAAAGAUUGGAAAUCAAAAUUUCAACUCUGCAGAGCUGAACAAGAAAAAAAAUAUUUUUCUGCAAAUAAUCGAACAAAUUGUGGUCCUUCGUUACGUCACAUUUUCUAAAUCCUUUGAUUUUCAAACUAAUUGGUCAACAGUACCGUGAUGAGUUUAUUGUUGCAUGUUCGUAACUUCCUAAGAGUCAAAUUUUAUCCAUUUUUUUUCGAAAUGCUAUGGAGUGAAAUUUUUAUGAAAUAAAAUGGUUUUUUCUGCA